GACGAACGCUGGCGGCGUGCUUAACACAUGCAAGUCGAACGGAAAGGCCCUGCUUGCAGGGUACUCGAGUGGCGAACGGGUGAGUAACACGUGGGUGAUCUGCCCUGCACUUCGGGAUAAGCCUGGGAAACUGGGUCUACUACCGGAUAUGACCUUCCAUGUAGUGUGGGGGGUGGAAAGAUUUAUCGGUGUGGGAUGAGCCCGCGGCCUAUCAGCUUGUUGGUGGGGUAAUGGCCUACCAAGGCGUCGACGGGUAGCCGGCCUGAGAGGGUGGACGGCCACAUUGGGACUGAGAUACGGCCCAGACUCCUACGGGAGGCAGCAGUGGGGAAUAUUGCACAAUGGGCGGAAGCCUUAUGCAGCGACGCCGCGUGGGGGAUGACGGCCUUCGGGUUGUAAACCUCUUUCGACAGGGACGAAGCUUCGGUGACGGUACCUGUAUAAGAAGCACCGGCUAACUACGUG
rnacentral:rRNA from 1 species